UUUGAGGUUUCAGAGGCUUAAACUGGGCCCAGUGUCUCUCUUUCUUCCUGCUGCCUGAGGAUCCAGAUUCAGAUGUACAACUCUUGGCUCCUUCUCCAGCACCAUGUCUGUUUGCAAACGGCCAUGCUUCCUGCCAUAAUGACAAUGGUUUGAACCUCGGAACUAUGAAUAUGAGAAUCAGGCUGAUUAAACUCAAUGUCCACCACCCUUGAAAAGCAAAGCACAGUGCAUGAGUACAGAUAUGAGCUCUGGCUUGGAUUCUGCUGUCAUUGUAUACGGUGACCUGGUGCCCAAGAAUUAACCUCUCCACAUCUUUGCUUCCUAUUAUAUACCAGAGAUCACACCAUAAUUUGCUUAGACUAGGUAAGAGGAUUUAGAAACUUUAUACAUGCUAAAUACUGUGAACAGUACCUAACACAUAAAAAGAAAUGACUAUUGGCUGUGUGUUGCCUACCAGUGGUGAGCACCAUAAGCCCAUCCAGCUUUCCCCAAUGCUCUCCUCACAAGCCCGCAGGCCUUGCGUGUAUCAGCUACCCAUUCUGCUACUACAGUCUUCAAAGCAUGCCUAGGAGAUAGAUUUACCCUUAACUGGUGUGCAGCUCAUAGAGAAGGUAAGUAUUGUUUGUAAAAAUGACACUAAAAUGGGGGUAAGAAGAGGAUACACAAUCACCCAAAAAUGACUUCAUGGGUGAUGCAGAGAAAAAAUUGCUCAGAAGCUAAAGGGAGGUCAAUCUCAAGUGGAGGUGACAAGAUGAGGGUUGUUGGAGGAGGUAUCUGGGAAUGAUCUUAACAUGAAUAAUGGCAAGCAAAGAUGCAACUUUGGAGUGAAGGCUUGAGUGUGAGAGAGGGAAGGCAGGCUUGGGGAGGAAUCAUGAAUGUUCUGCUUGGGUGUGGAUAUGUGGCAAGCCACAUGAGGAAGGAGGCUGGUUCAUCAGGGUGGGGCUGGCGUCCUGGUAGGCCAGAAAUGGCAGACUUCAGAGUUUGUUCAUCACGCACUGAGGAGUGCUGUGGACCACUAGGCAGAUGGUAUCUACAUAAACACCGCCAGGCUGGAGAAUAGCUAAGAGCAGGAGCCUGAAUUCAUCCAUCUCCCUCGCCAAGAAGUUAUGUGUCUUCCACUCUAGAAAGGACACAUUUUUUCCCUGGUGUCACUCUUGUCACCACUUUCUCCUUUACCAGGCUCACCAACCACUAACACCACAUAGUGUCCCCUUCCCCAUUCUUGGGGUUGUAGUUUCUCUCUUUGAACUCUCAGGUAAAAGGUUUCUUUCUUUAAAAGCUAUAGGGGCUGGUGAGAUAGCUCAGUGGGUAAAGAUGCUAAGUUUGGUGACCUAGGUUCAAUACUUAGCACCUAUGUAUUGAAAGAACAAGACCAACUCUUGCAAGUUCUUUUGGUCUCCACAUUUGCUCCAUGACAUGGUGUACCCACACAUAUACAUACCCACAUGCAUACAAAAGGAAUGGAAAAUGUGAAUGGACAAAUAAAUAUUCCAAUUCUGUGCAGAGCUCCAUGAACAGGCAUCUCCCUGCCCUCCAAUGACCAUAAAUGAGGGUUCUGUCCCCAGUGGCACAGGCUGGCACUGUUCACAAGUGCCUUGAUGUCUCAUUGUCAUGGCAGGAAGAGAUUCAGGGUCAUCUCCCAUUCUCAAUGACAGUGUCUUCUGUGACCUCAGCACCCAGCCCUGCCUCCACGGGACUGAACAGAAGCAUGGUGCCUCUUCUGUCAUCUCCUGAGGAGCUUGGCUCUCUUAGAUUGAGUUACUCAACUGCUCCUAACUUUGCCGUCAUCAUUCCCUUCUGCAGCCUAUUAUAACUCUAUCCCUGACUAAUGUAGCUGAACAUACUGCUCCCACCCUGCUCUUCUGCCAGCAGCAUCUGUAAAAAAAAAAAAAAAUCAGCUUUGUCAGGCAGCCUUCGCUCCCCCCUCCCCUUGCCAUGGCUCCCUCUCCCCUCUUCUCUCAAGAGUCUAUUAGUAACCGUCCUCUGCAAAUAGGCCAGAAAGCUCCCCAUGCCCUUGAGCUGUCCUUAGCCCAGGAUCCAGGAUUCUGGCUGGCCACUUGUCUCUGGACCUGGCAGGUGGCAGGGUCCUUCUCUCAACCAGCUGCCCUCUCCAUCAGCCCAUAUGGACAGACAAUAUGCUUUCCAUAGAAGCCCUGGUAGGUCCCACACAUCCCGGCACAGCCAAGUCCCAGCCCUGCCUGACUGCUUUAUGUGAGAAGCAGGAACAAAUCAGACAGUUUGUUGACAUGAUCCACACAGGCAGUUGAGGGAUGGGAUCCAGGUUGAAUGUAUUUGGAUGGUUGUUAAGUAUGCUUUUCUUCAGUGGCCUUGAUUUCAUGCCUCUGUGUGUAUAAUGAUCACACAUGCAUGUGUGUGUGUGCGCCUGCCUGUACACACACACACACACACACACACACACCAUGUGGCCACAUAGAAACAGAGCCACUAGAUUUCAAAGCAGGCAGGCAGUGGGCUUGUUUGUACAUUUGACUCCUACACUCUGCCUGUUCUCUCUGAUUUCAUGGAAUUCUGUGCUAGUGAAUUCUGGAGAUGUUUCACCUCAAUCAUGGACCAUGAGGGAAGAGGCUUGUCAAGCUGCAUAGGGUAGGGGUGUUUUGCAAAUGUUAGAGAGUAAACAGUGUGAAAAUUGUGCUUCCUUCCUCAGAGUAUUUUUUUCUUUUCUGUUCUUUUUUAAAAAAUCUAUCUCAUCUAGAGCUAGAGGCUGACUAAUGUCCACAGCAGGAAAUAGGAACAAGCAAAUUUGUCAAUUAGAAUCCUGUUUGUACUUCUGAGGGCUGGGUCAAUUAUUCCACUAAUUAGUUCAUUCAUUCAUUCAUUGAUUUCUUCACUUAUUUGUUCAUCCAACAUCAAUUUUUUAAAAUAAUUUUUCUGAUUAUAAUAACAAUGCAUAUUUAUUGCAGAAUUGUGGAAGAUUUGUUAAAGUAUAGAGAGAGGAGUCUAUGAGAAUCACUUUCUUUUCUUUCCACCUAAAGUCAGUGACUGUCUAAUACUUGGGUAUGUCAUCUUUUAUCAUGAGCUCCUAGCUAAGGCUGAACCCCUCAGGCUAUCUUGCUCCCUGCUUCUGAACAAGAGUCUGCACCUGGUCACCUCUCUUCCAAGCAAACCAACCUUCACCAAGCAGAAAAGAAAAAUGAAGAUUUUACUCAAGUUUUCAGGACAAGGCAGAAGAAAAGUAUACAUACAUGACACACAGCAAAACUUGUUAAAAUGCCUCCAUUAGACAUCUGGGUUCAAGGCCAUGCCUCUAACUCCAGUAACUGCCAACUGGUUUCUGUCCUCAUCUACAUCACUCCUCAGUCCUGUGUUAUCCCCAGCUCUAGGCUCUCUCCUCAUAGACACACAUGCAGCCCUCCACUUAGAGAACAACAGAUCCAUCUUAGCAUUCUUUAUCUUCUUAACUCAAAAGGGGGAAUUGCAAGAAAUGUUCCUAUUUCCUUGAAAUGAAUAAUUUUGUUCUGUCUUUCAGCCCUGUAUGCAUGUAUGCACAUAUGUACUCACACACAGGGAUCAGGCAUACAUUUUAUAAAUAUUAGGCACAUUAUAUUUGUUAUAUUUUAGAACUAAUGCUUUUUCUCCCACAUAUUUUUCUCUGAUAAUUAAAUGUUCUUUCAAAACACGCUUUUCAUAAUUAUCUAGUAUUUCACCCGUGCAAUGUUUACAACCUAUCUGAUUAGUACUCUGUUGUUAGAAGUCUAGAUUUUAUGUGCCUCUGCAUUCACUCUCUCCCUCUCCCUCUCUUUCUCUCUGUCUCUCUCACUCAAGCAUACCUACCUAUCUCAUCUAUUUACAUGGCAGUGAUAAACCGUCUACAAAUCCCUAGUUAUCGUCUUCUUUGUGAGCACUCCCAGCCUUCUUCUGAGGAUAAACAUGUAAACUUGGAGUUUUCCACUGAAAACUCAAUAAACAUUUUGAAAUGUGUUAUAAAUUGCCACCUAGAAAAAGUCUUAAUUGAAUAUACAUAUAUAUUCAAGAUAGAGACACAGGCAAGGACUUUCUGAAAAGGACUCCAAUGGCACAGACAAUAAUCACAAGAAUGAACUAAUAGAAUUACAUGGAAUUAAAAGGCUUUUGCACUGCAAAGGAAAGAACCAGCAGAGGGAAGAAACAGCUCCAGAGUAGGAGAAACUCUAUUUCACAACUACACAUCAGAUAGGUAGGGCACAUCUAAAAUGUAUAAAGAACUGCAGAAAUUAAGCAACAAAAAACUGUCUAAUCAAUAAAUAGACCAAUGGACUGAAUAGACAAAUCUCAAAAGAAGAAUCAUAAACAGGCAAUAAAUACUUGGAAACAUGUUUGAAAACCUUAGUUCAUCGGGGGAAAUGCAAAUUAAGACUACUUUCAGAUUCUAUCCCACAAUAGGGAGAGGGGCCAGCAUCAAGAAAGUAAAUGACAAGUGGUGACAAGGAUAGGGAAGGAGGGGGGAAUCUUUCUAUGCUGCUGGAGUGUGAACUGUGCAGCCACUGUGGAAAUGGGCAUAGAAAUUCUUUUAAAACAAAACAAACAAACAAAAAACCGGAGAUGAGAACCUCCAUAAGACCUGGCGACACCACUCCUGUGUAUGGACUUAAUGGCCUCUAAAUCAGCAUGUCGCAGAGACACUUGCACAGCCAUGUUUGUUUUUUUCUACUCACAAUAGCCAGAAAACAGAACCAGAUAGAAUACUGGUAGCAGAUAAAUGGAUGAAGAAAAUGUGGCACAAGUACACAAUGGAGUUUUAUACAGCUGCAAAGAGAAGCAAAAUCAUUACAUUUGCAGGAAAGCAGAUGAAAUAAGCCAAACACUGAAAGACAAGUGCUGCCUGUUUUCUCUCAUCUGCCUAACAUAUAUUUAAGUUUAUAUAUAGGAGUGUGUAUCUGUGUGUGCAUAUUUUAAAAAGUUAUUGAUCGUUUACUCAAUGCUAGGCAUUAUUAGCUGCUAAGGAUUUAAAACUAUGUAAAAUGUAUUUUUUUGUUGUUGUUGCUAUCGGAGAACUUAUAAUUGAGCAUUUGCUUUAGCUAAAUGGUGGGCUCCUGCUCUCCUCCCCAAAUCUCUAUUUGGAUUUGUAUUUAAUAAUAUGUUGGAUGAAAUACUGUCUCUGCCUCUAAAUAUAUUUUUCAUCUGCAUCUAUGACACACACAGAAGACCUUUCUAAUUCUUGAAGCCAACCUCCAACAUCUCUGCUAUGUGCUAGUUUACAAAACACAUAGGCAUAUGAAAUGCUUCUAUUUUUAUCUUCAGCUUGUAUAUUUGGAAGAACGGAAUAAGUACUUACAGAUUGCAAUAUAUAUUAAUUUGGUCUUAAAGGGGAAAUGACCACUUUGUUCACACCCAUGCUGGAUCAUAUAGGAAAUCCUAAAUUCUGGUUCUGCAGGGCUCAUCUACCUGCAGCAUGUGUUAACUUUAUCUUUGUGUUUGGGCUUUCUCUGCUGCCUCUCUCUACCAUCAGCUUUUGUGUUCCUCUAGACACUUCUCCCACAAGAUCAUAAGUUAAUUGCCUGUGAGUGUUUCUUAGCAUUCUCACUACAGUGAAAUAGUGUCCGCACUGAGCAAGGACUAUAUAUUAUAAUGAUGUGGUGGUCAUAAUAUUUGCAUUUUAUUUGUUUGAUUUUGCCAUAUGUGGGGUCAAACCCAGGGCCUCAUCCACACUAAAGAAGAGCUUUACAUUGACUUUAAACCAUGAUCCUCCUGCAUCAACCUCCCCAGUAGCUCACAUUAAAGACCUACGCUGCUGUGUUGGCUAGAUAGCUUUUUUUUAUUCAUUAUUUAUUUUUAUAUACAGUUUGAUGUAGUCCAGGUUGACCUUAAAUUGGCUUUGUAUUCAAGGAUGAUCUUGAAUUCCUGAUUCCCCUGUUUUAACCUUCUGAAUGCUGAAGUUACAGGUAUGCACCACCACCAAUUUUUCUCCUGGGUUAAGCAUUAAACCCAGGGCUUUGUGUAUACUAGGUAAGCACUCUACCCCUGAGCCACAUACCCAGUUUCUCUGUUGCUUUUAUUUUUCUAUUUGUAGGAGCUUUGACAUCUCUGACUCAAUGAUGCCAGCCUUGGCCGUAUGAUAGUCAAUGAAAUGUCAAUGGCAUUAGUUACAUCCAAGCAUAAGCUUUAAGAGCCAGCCCUCAGCUAUGUAAUGUCUCUUCUUUUGCCUCAACACUAACACAUCCCUGACCAGAGCUGCUGUUUCAGUGUGGGUCAAGGAAUAAAGAUGAAUACAACAUCUGCGAAGCGGAUGAUAUGGAUGAAUUUGGAGGAGAGCAAACUGCCAGAGUCAUGCACAGAAAAUAUGAUCACAGACCAGAUGGAUGAGACAACAGUGAUUGGGGAAGGAGAGGGCAGAUUUGGCUAGGUUUCAGAACAAGCAAUUCUGACAUGGCUACCAGAGGAAUUGUGGAGAGAGGAGAGCAAGGUGAGCUUCAUGUUUCUGCUUUAUGUAAAUAAGCCAUUUACCAAUAUGCAAUCCACUGAGAAAGAAACAGCCUUACAGUGGGAGGAGGUAAGAAUUCUCUGUUGGGUAUGUUAAGGAUGAAGGGUCUGGAAGAUAGGUAGAAGGAAACGUUGUUGAGUGGGCAGCAAGAGACACGAGCCUGUAAUAGAGGGAAAAAAGCUUUGAGCUUAAAUUAAAAGCUUGGAGUUGUCAGCAUAUAGAUGUUACAUAAAGCCAGGGAAUAGGUGAGAUACAGUAGGGGGAAGACACUGGGUGAAUGAAUGAGUGAAUGAGGGAGGGGGGUUGAUGGCUCCCUUGUGAAUGUGAUGAUCCUAGAGCAGCUGGCUGGGCAGUACAGAUGGAGGGGAGAAUGGGUGCUGCUUGGGUUCGUGAGCUGGCGACACCUGCUCCUCGUAAAGCCAGAGUGCCAGAAGGUAUUCUCAAAUGAGAACUGAGCUGUGGGAGGAUUGUAGCUCAAGAGAGUAUGUAGGGCUCAUCAGCCUUCCUCGUGGGAGGAUGAACUGUUAGAAUGGAUACUGAGAUGGUUGGUUGGGCAGCCCACAAAGAGUGGGAAGAGAACUACUUGCUGCCUGGGACUUGAGUAGAGUUGAGGUGGGUGGAGGAUAAGCAUCUGAGAAGGGAUUUAGGAAGGGAUGAGAAGGGAUGAUGGGAAAUGCUGCAAUAUAGGGACAAGAGAAUUUAGUAGACCAUGGGAAGGCUGAUUUAGAAGUUCACAGCCAUCGAAGUCAAUGAAGCAGCAAAUGAGUAGGAGGUCAUUGACUCUGCCCAUCAUAGUUGGAUUUCCCAGGAAAAGGCUGAGGUAGUACAAGGAAUGACUUCCAGAAAGGUGAGAGAAGUGGCAGCAGAGGAUGGUGAGGGCCUCACUGCAGAUGGGAAAGAGAUAACUUGAGGGAAAAGAAGGUUGGAGAAAGAUAUUGUUGAGACAUCUUUUGAGCCUGGGUAUGCCGAUCACGGAGAACACAAUCAUAUAUA